AAGUCGUAACAAGGUUUCCGUAGGUGAACCUGCGGAAGGAUCAUUAACACUUAACUUAUGAAAUUUAACAACCUUCAUAUAAAAUUGUACCGCGAACCGUUGCUUCUCUCUCCCCCAGCUCUUAGCGCGAACAUACGGCAGCCAUGGUGGAGGUCCCCUGAAUAAGGUGUGGCUUUCGGCUGGACGACGUCAGACUAGGUCGGGGAGGGACAAAUCGUGCUCUUCGUCACCCCCAUUGGCGAACUUGCUAUUCUAACCAUUAUCAUUUAUUUUACCCCUGCUAAUCAUGAACUGACUGUUGAAUGGACCGUGCUUGGACUUGGAGUGAUUCGUCACGCCAGCGUUCUCGUAUGCGCUCUGUCGAUAUUCGUUAUCGAAUCAACAAUGGAAAACACAACUCUUACCAGCGGAUAUCUCGGUUCCC
rnacentral:misc_RNA from 1 species